rnacentral:rRNA from 1 species
UACGUAGUGUGCGAGCGUUGUCCGGAAUUAUUGGGCGUAAAGAGCUCGUAGGCGGUUUGUCGCGUCUGCUGUGAAAACCCGAGGCUCAACCUCGGGCCUGCAGUGGGUACGGGCAGACUAGAGUGCGGUAGGGGAGAUUGGAAUUCCUGGUGUAGCGGUGGAAUGCGCAGAUAUCAGGAAGAACACCAACGGCGAAGGCAGCUCGCUGGGACGGUACUGACGCUGAGGCGCGAAAGCGUGGGGAGCAAACAGG